rnacentral:rRNA from 1 species
GUACGUACAAGCAGUGGGAGCACAGAGCAAUCUGUGUGACUGCGUACCUUUUGUAUAAUGGGUCAGCGACUUAUAUUCUGUAGCAAGGUUAACCGAAUAGGGGAGCCGAAGGGAAACCGAGUCUUAACUGGGCGUUAAGUUGCAGGGUAUAGACCCGAAACCCGGUGAUCUAGCCAUGGGCAGGUUGAAGGUUGGGUAACACUAACUGGAGGACCGAACCGACUAAUGUUGAAAAAUUAGCGGAUGACUUGUGGCUGGGGGUGAAAGGCCAAUCAAACCGGGAGAUAGCUGGUUCUCCCCGAAAGCUAUUUAGGUAGCGCCUCGUGAAUUCAUCUCCGGGGGUAGAGCACUGUUUCGGCAAGGGGGUCAUCCCGACUUACCAACCCGAUGCAAACUGCGAAUACCGGAGAAUGUUAUCACGGGAGACACACGGCGGGUGCUAACGUCCGUCGUGAAGAGGGAAACAACCCAGACCGCCAGCUAAGGUCCCAAAGUCAUGGUUAAGUGGGAAACGAUGUGGGAAGGCCCAGACAGCCAGGAUGUUGGCUUAGAAGCAGCCAUCAUUUAAAGAAAGCGUAAUAGCUCACUGGUCGAGUCGGCCUGCGCGGAAGAUGUAACGGGGCUAAACCAUGCACCGAAGCUGCGGCAGCGACGCUUAUGCGUUGUUGGGUAGGGGAGCGUUCUGUAAGCCUGCGAAGGUGUGCUGUGAGGCAUGCUGGAGGUAUCAGAAGUGCGAAUGCUGACAUAAGUAACGAUAAAGCGGGUGAAAAGCCCGCUCGCCGGAAGACCAAGGGUUCCUGUCCAACGUUAAUCGGGGCAGGGUGAGUCGACCCCUAAGGCGAGGCCGAAAGGCGUAGUCGAUGGGAAACAGGUUAAUAUUCCUGUACUUGGUGUUACUGCGAAGGGGGGACGGAGAAGGCUAUGUUGGCCGGGCGACGGUUGUCCCGGUUUAAGCGUGUAGGCUGGUUUUCCAGGCAAAUCCGGAAAAUCAAGGCUGAGGCGUGAUGACGAGGCACUACGGUGCUGAAGCAACAAAUGCCCUGCUUCCAGGAAAAGCCUCUAAGCAUCAGGUAACAUCAAAUCGUACCCCAAACCGACACAGGUGGUCAGGUAGAGAAUACCAAGGCGCUUGAGAGAACUCGGGUGAAGGAACUAGGCAAAAUGGUGCCGUAACUUCGGGAGAAGG